rnacentral:antisense_RNA from 1 species
CUUCAUCGAGCCGAGCAGCAGCGGGCGUUCCCGGUUCUGGCCGUAGGUGGCGAGCAGCGCCUGGGCCUC